CCUGCACUACCCGGGUCGCUCCGCGGCGCUGCCGCGCGCCCGCUCCCACACGAGCGAGGAACGGCUCUCCCCGGAGCUCGGAUCGUUAGCUCCUCCCCAGUACAGCGUCGCCCCUCGGAGCCCUCCAGCCGCGCCCCGGCCCCGCGACGAACGGCGGCUGCGGAGCACCGCCGCCGCCUGACAGCGCCGAACCCCGGGCCGAGCAGCCUCCGCCCGCCGGGCCGCGGCGGCAGAGGCACCGUUACGUCAGCGGGGGCCGGGCCGGAGGAAGAGUUUCCCCGCGGUGUGCGAGCGCCGGGAAGUGCCGUGCGCCGCCGGGGGAAGCGGCCUCCCGCUGCCCGACAGGGAGGAACGCGGCUGCGUCCCGGCCCGGCCGCGGUGCGGGGCGCCCCCGUCCCCUACUCUGCCCCGGCUCGGCCCCACCGCCGCCGGCGCUAAGGGGAAGCGCCGCGGGGAGUAAUCGCGGCUGUGCUGGAAAGAUACUGAAAGGGGAAAUAAAUCUCCUAAAAGGGCACGGUUGCUAUGUUAGCGAUUUGAUUUUGGUCAUCUUCGAUGCCGUGGUGCUGACUGCUACGUUAAACAAACAGGAAACUGCACAGCGUGGCUUUCUCCUCUCCAGAACAAUUUUGAGUUGGUGAUUUCACCUGUCUCUCUCUCUUUCUUUUUUAAGAAAGUCACUGGGAAAGGGCUCUUGCGCAAGCUUUGAACUGACUUUACUAUCCGAAGAAGAAUGUCAGGCCAGCUCUUGUGUUCAGGAGGGCAGGUGGGGGAAUUCAAGGCAGUGUGAAGGAAGAGCCCAGCUGCCAGGACGCACUCAAGUAAGUCUGUGAGAGAUGAGCACCGAGGCUUGGAUCUGCACCUCGUAUUCCUGACGCGGCAGCAGUGAUCAGAUGGCAGGAGAGGAGCACUCUGAAACGUGGUGUCUGACAUGGAAGUGUGGAUGGAGCAGAGGUGUGGAAUUGGAUUCCUCCAUGAAGAAAAAAAAUGCACUCAUCAGUGCUUGCUGAACGUUUAUGGAGAGCAAACAGUGGAUGUGAGCACAGUGAGGCAGUGGGUGGUGUGUUUCAGCAGUGGUGACAACAACACUGGGUCACCUCCACUGGUGCAGUGGCAGCGACAUGGAAGGAGCGGGCAAGCUGUAGGCAGCUCGUUACCUUGAGUCAGCCCCUGACCUUUCCAUGGCCCGUGAAUCCUCCGAGCUCUAUGGAGAAACAGCACUAUCUGGUGGAGGGAGUGUGUAAAGUCCUGUCAGCCACGGGCUGGGCUCAUUUGUUAGAGCUACAGUUGCAACUGCUCUAGCUGUGUUCUUGCCCAAAGUUGAUAGUUUCGCCGUGGUUUCCAGAGAUUAUUUUUUUUUCUUUUAACAGUGCGAAUGGCAAGUGAGUAUAUCCAGCUAAGUCUUUGUAAAACUGAUGCUUUCAUCAGUUUCUAUUGCUUACCUGAAGAAUUUUUUCACCCUCUGAGGAAUGUUGGUAUGUUUUCUGGAUUUUUCUAAGCACAGCAAUAUGAAAGAAAGAGAGAAAAAAAUGUUUAGGUUUAAUUUUAAAAGAAAUGUUCUUUAUUGAAGUUAUAUAAAGCAGAUGCAAGUGGAAUAAAAUCAAACUUGUGUGUAAGGAGAAAUUUUCAGAAACAUUUCAUGUCAAAAAAUGAAAUAAAACCCAGAACCCAGGUUAUGAAGUUGUGAAACUUUGGCUCUGAAUUGACUUCUGGAUGUAAACGCAUUCAUAGAACCACAGGAUAUCCCGAGUUGGAAGGGACCCGUGAGAAUCAUUGAGUCCAACUCCUGGAUCAACACAGGAGCACCUAAAAAUCAGACCCUAUGUCUGAAAAGCAUAAUCUAUGUAAAAGCAUGUAUGAAAAGCACCACGUUGGUGAAGAUGUUGGCUAGUAUCAAUAUGUCCACUGAAUUCCACUGAAUUUAAUGGAUAUUCUUAUGCAAGUGAAAUAGUUGAGUGUUAGUGCGAUUGGUCCCUCCACUGAAAUCAAACAUUGGUCAUGCAUACUGAAUAUCUUUGAAAAUCAAACUGCUAUUUAGUUAUCUAAUUUUUUGACACACAGCCCUGAAAAAAAAAGCAUCCUUAAGAGCAUUUUUAUUCCUGUGAUAUUGCAGUUGACCUUUAGGGUAU
ensembl:lncRNA